rnacentral:lncRNA from 1 species
CGGUCGGUCAGUCGUGUUGUCUUAAAUGGGUCAGCAUCCUAUCUUAUGGUAGAAGGUAAGAUUGGGCCGAGUCACGUUCGAAAUGGCGUGAGGCCAGAUUGAGCCGAGUCACAAUCGAGACCUGUGGACGCUGUGUCUGUUUGCUUUAAGUAUAUUAAUUGCAUAUUUCUAAUAGCUCGAGCUUUUAGAAUUAAUGGUUAGCGCCAACGAUCCGGUACGUAGUAUCAAAGCCAGAGGGUGGCGAGAGUAAUUGUUGGCUUAAAUGGACUAGCAUCUUACCUUAUGUGCAAGAGGCUAGGUAGGGCCUAUCGAGUCACGUUCGAAAUAGCGUGAGGCCGGAUUAGGCCGAGUCAUAUUUGAUAUAGGGUGAGGCUAGUUGAGCCAAGUCACAAUUAAGACCCGUGGGCACUCUAUCUGUACAUUUUAAGUGAAUUGGUUAUGCAUUUUUAAUAGCUCGAGCUUUUAUGAUUAAUGGUUAGCGCCAACGAUCCGAUAAAUAGUAUCAGAGUCAGAGGUCAUGGGUUCCCACAUGUUGCAAAUUUGUGCAGAUGCUACCGGGGGGAUUGUUCACUUAAAUGUGUCAGCAUACUACCCUGUGGCGGAAGGUAGGUUGGACCAAGUCAUAUUCGAAGUAGGGUGAGACUCGUUGAGCCAAGUCACAAUCGAGACUCAUGGGCACUGUGUCUAUACACUUUAAAUAAAUUGGUUGUAUAUUUUUAACAGUUCAAGCUUCUCAUGAUCCAACAAGUCAUCCCCAACUUGAGACAAUCUUAUGUGUGGUUGAAAUAG